UCGGACGUAGUGUAUAGCAAGCACGCCAAGCACUCUCAUAGAUUCGGACUUCGUGCCUUUGCCUUUGGGAGAUCUGGGUUCGAUUCCCAGCGUCCGAA